UUAGAAUUUUGGACCUGAAAGAUACCUUAAAGAUUUCAUAUGAGAACUAAUGUGCUCCUGGGGAAGAACUAUCAAAACAAAAUCGGAACCAUCAAUUUUUUCAUAUAUAUUAUCAGUUUAUCCAUGGAGAAGAACACUAGAGAAGCUUCAGAGUUUACCUGACUACAAUAUUGGGCCACGAACACAAAAGGAAAAAACUGAGGAGAUGAGCAGACAGUGCACCCAGUUCAUGACUGGACAACAUCCUUAAGAUGACUGCGUUCCUAAGUGAAGUGUGAAUGGCCCCCCAUGGUGAAAAGCAAUGAAUAUUUCUAUCUUUGAAAUGACAAGACUGAGUGAUCUCAAAGAGGUCAGCUUCAGGCUCUAUUGGCAAAGCUAUUAAGGUCAGGAGACAAAAGGGAGGCCCUCUCUCUAUAUUUCUCCAGUAUUUCCAGAGUAAACUGCCUGCAUAGAAGGAUCUCACAUUCUUCUACAUGUUCCUAACACAGCAUUACCAGAAGGAUCAGCAGAUGGCUUCCAGAAGGCCCAGGACUGAGGAUCAGCCAGGGCUAGGCCCAGCCCACGUGGGCCACUGCCCAUAAAUAUGGACUUCUGGACUUAAGGAAAUGGGCAUCAAGCCACUGCCCACCUAACUUCUAAAACAGAAACAGAACUGAGUCUAUCCAACAAAUGCUAUUUGGAUUAGAAAAGUACACUCCUCCCACACAAAGUGUCCAAAUUUGAGAGAAAAGGACCCUGACCACAGGUUUCUCAAUCAAAGCCCCAGGUAGCAUUAGGGCCUGCAAGGAUGGCUCCCAGGUCUCUGGGAAGGAAAAAGGGAGAAGGGGGCUGACAGAGCGCUUAGUCCCCAGUCCCAGCUAUAACCAUAACAGCACUUAAAUCAGCUUUAUAUCAGGUUCCGUAUUGGAUUUCCUUUGAAUAAGCGUUUACAUGAUGAUGAAAGAGGAUAUGAUUCUAUCACCUCAGCUAGACUGA